rnacentral:lncRNA from 1 species
GUAGAUAUAAAUUAAAAGGGGAUGAAACAAUCUGAGCUGGGAAGAGAUGAGUGCAAGUUUAUUUUAUUUCCUUGGUUGUGUAGGAGUCCUGUUAACCAGUAUGUAAUGCACAGUCAUGUAAUAAAACAUGCUAGACAUUAAAAGGCAAAAACCCAGUUCACAGAUGUUGUAAUGUUAUGAGAUAAUUUUAGGGAGUGAAUGGGGUGAAAAGGCUGGAUUUGUUAGAGAGGAAAAUACCUAUGGAGGCCUUUUCUGUGAGCAAUACCAUGACUUCAUUACCAUGUCAAUUCUGGGAAAAGGCUCUGAUUUAACACAGCAGUUGGCUGGAUCCAUAUGGAGCUGAUGAACCUCUGAAUGAAUAGUGAAUGGAAAAACUGCUGGAAUCUGCCUUCAGCUUUGUUCCCAGGAUGACCAAUGUAAAAGGCCUAAGAGCAAUACUGCACAGAUGGUGUAAAGAGGUCAGCCUUUUAGAGGCAGUGAGCUGUGUUGCACUGUCUGAAGGAUUCUGGAGAGAAACUUGCUUCUGAACAGGAUUCAGAGUGGCUUAGGAGAAGAAAAUAUCUUCUCCUACCUGCUGCCUGUUGAGAACUGACCCUGCUGCAAUUCAUUUCUUGCUGCUCCUAAUAUACCCUCAAGGGAGACGAAGCCUUUGCUACAAGCCCGUCAGCAGAAAGUGGAUCCACAGGGAACUUGGUUACAUGGUACAGUCUGGGACCCAGUUUAACUUUGCUUCAUCUUUCUAGCAAUCCCAGAACUCUUCAAAAAUGUGGGUGGAGAUCUAUUACACAUGCUUACUAUGGUUACUCGCCAUGAAAAACAGUAUGAACGGCCAACACAGGCUCCAGGUGGUGGAUCAGCAUUAAUCAUAAUAGACUCAGGGCAGAGGACUGGCAAGAUACCAUGAGAAAUGGUUGUACAUCCAUCCCCUUGAAUUCCAUUUCCUCCCACAGGGGAUAGGGAUAUGGAGGUAAGUGCCAGUGCCUGCAUCUUCUGUUUCCAGCUAUCAUAAACCAUGAUCUGCUAUGUGUCCGUGUCCUUUUGUCUGCAGGAAAAGGGUGCAUGACGCAACUCUCUGGUACAGUAGAGUUAGGAAUCUGGGGAUUUUGACAGCUUUCACAAAAAAAUAAUAAGGAUCGAAGUCUGUCCUUCAAAUUCAUUUGGGUUUAAUAGCAACAGCUUUUAG